GGGGGUAAGGAAACGGCAAGGGGGAUGGAGCUUGGCUCACCGGUGGCUUGGCUUCGAGCUCGGGAACGACGGCGACGACGAGCUACUCCGGCGAGGGAUUCCGGCAGCGUGGGCGCGUGCGGGUGCGGGCAAACAGAGGGGAAAAGAAGAGGAGGAAGAGGGCUUUAUAAGGACGCGGACGGGCUCGAGGAUUAAAGGACGGAGCGAGGGAAAUCUGGCGGUGAGCGCGCGGCGGCGAAGAAGGAAAGCGCGCGCGCGUCGCGGGCGUGAUUCCGGGGAAGACGAAGACUGGCAGGUGGGCCCCACCUGUCAGUGACUCACGGGUGCGGGCGCUUGUUGGGCUGGCUGGGCUGGCUCAGGCGCGCGCGGGAAGUUGGGCCGGUUCAGCCCAAUUCGGCCGGGCCGGUCUGUUUUCCCCUUUUUUUUUCUUUAGCCUUUUCUUUUUCUGUUUUUCUUAUUUCUUUGAUAUCUUUUGAUUUUGAACUCCAAAUUGGUCCAAAUAAAUUCUAGAAAAUUUGUAAAAUCAUGUUCUAUCAUGAUACAACUUUUAGGAGAAAUUUCCCCUCAAAAUAAAAUAUAUAAAAAUACAUUUGCCCUAUAAAUGCCUUUAGGGCUAUAUAACUAUUUAAAGAAAAUAGUUUUUCAACUCCAAAUAAUUAUCCAAAAAUUAUGGGAUAGCUUAUAUAUAUAUGCAAUAAACCCCUUUUAUAUAUAAACCCUAUUGGUUUGAAGAUCCAA
rnacentral:lncRNA from 1 species